GGAUGGACUAGGAGUUUGGGAAUAGCAGAUGCAAACUAUUACAGUUAGAAUGGAUAACCAAUGAGAUCCUAUGGUAUAGCAUAGGAAAUAGACCAGCUGUUGGAAUAGACCAUGAUGGAAGAUAAUGUAAGAAAGAGUGUGUGUGUGUGUGUGUGUGUGUGUUUAUGACUGGGUCACUUUGCUUUACAGCAGAAGUUGAAAUAACAUUGUAAAUCAACAAUAUUUUAAUUUAAAAAUGAAAAAAAUUUACCUGGCCUAAAUAUCAGUAGUAUCAAGGUAGAGAAAACCUCUUGUACACCACGUCCUAAGGUCAGUCUAUGUCUUUGAUCUUAGCUUCUCUGUUUAUGCCUCAUUAUAAUAGGGAAAUUAAUUAACCACUGUGUUUAUGUAACUAUCUUGGAAUAAGAGCUAAAUAAUUAGGCUGGAAAUCAUAUAUUCUGCUGUAAAUCAAAACACAAUUGUUUCUUUUAUAGAAUAAAAAUAUUUUCACAUGAAAGAGCUCUAGAAAUAGCUCCUUGAUGAACAUUGUGUGUCUGGAGCCUUAGUGACUUCAUUCAGUGAGUGUCCACUGAGCAGUGAUUUUAUCCAUUAGCCAUGGGGCUCUAUCAGAGAGCAUGAUAGACACAGACAUUGUUCUCAUUAGGUCCAUCAUUUCAUUGGCUCGAGAAAGAUGGUGAACAAAUAGAGAAGUGCCUAUUAAAUGAAAGUUUUAUGAUAUACAGGAUUAUCUGAGAACUAGAGAGGACCUGAGUUAGAAAGAUUUAGUAAAAGUUCCCAUUUAAAGUAGUAAAAAGGGGAGUUCCUAUUGUGGCUCAGAGUUUGAACCCAGCUAGUGUCCAUGAGGAUGUGGAUUCGAUCCCUGGCCUUGCAUAGUGGAUUAAGGAUCCCGCAUUGAGGUGAGCUCUGGUGUAGGUCACAGACUUGGGUUGGAUCACUCAUUGCUAUGGCUGUGUUGUAGAUCUGCAGCUGCAGCUCAAUUUGACCUCUAGCCUGUGAACUUCUGUAUGCUGCAGGUGUGGCCCUAAAGGCCAAAAAAAAAAAUAAAUAAAUAAAUAAAUAAAAAAUAAAGAAAAAAAAGAAAAAAGGGCAUUCCCAUUGUGGCUCAGUGUUAAGAAGCAAACUAGUAACCAUGAGGAUGCCGGUUUAAUCCCUGUCACUGCUCAGUUGGUUAAGGAUCCAGCCUUGUCAUGAUGUAUAGGUUGCAGGUGCAGCUCAGAUAAGGUUUUCCUGUGGCUAUGGCGUACCUAGGCUGGCAGCUUCAGCCCGAUUCGACUCCUAGACUGGGAACAUCCAUAUGGCAUGGGUGCGGCUCUAAAAAAAAAAGUAGAAAGGAGUGAAACUUGACCAGGCCAAGGAAAUGUUCCAGGCAGAGGAAACAGUGCAGGAAAAAGAAGGGAGAAGGAAUGAGCUUGGUGCAUUCAAAGAAGUGUCAGGAGUGCAGUAUGACACAGUUUGCCAUUAAGAAGAGUGGCUCAAGAAUUAGAUAAGAUCCAGAUGGAUCUAGGCUGCUGUAAGGCCAUGUAAAGAAUCUUUAGCUUUAUUCUAAAAAUAAGAUGAGACUUUUAAGACUUUCAAGCAAGAGAGUGGCUACGAUAAGAUUUGCAUUUAAGGCCUAAUCGGAACAUUUAGAGAACAUUAUACCUUAAGCUUCUAGAAGGAGCAUAUCUUACAGUGCUUUAAUGAUGCAACUGCCCUGGGUGUCUGUAUCUGAACCCACAAAGGCCUUGUUGAUUUUCUUAUUUAUACAAUGUCCACAUCUCCCCUAGUCUACGUCUUUCCUUGACGAACCUGGUUUUUAAUCAACUUGUGGUGAAACAUCACUUAUGUGAUACUAAAAGAAGGAAGCCAGUAUUUUUCAUGUCUCCCAUGGAACAGGGUAGGGAAUGCACAUUUAUAAGUUACUGGUUAUUAAACAAGUGCCAGUACUCAGCUAAGUAUGUCUCAGCUGCUCUUCCUCUAAGGCAAGUGCUAUUUUCUUCCUGAAGAUCAGGAAAUCAGGUCUCAGAAAUAUUAAAGGAUCUGCCUAGUUUGUGACCUCACAGACAGUAACUGGUAAAGAUGUGAUGAGAGCUAAUCUCUCUGAUUCCCAGAACUGUACUUUUCUCUGUCCAACAUUCAGGAGGUAGGUAAUUUGUAUGUCUUGUUGUUGGAGCUUUACAACAACCAUGUGAGGUAGAUAAGGUUUUCCCCUUAUUCUUUAGAUGAGAAAGUUCUGUCCAGGAUGUCUUCUUUAACAGUCCCUGGGAGAUGCAGUUUAGAGCCACACCUUUCUGACUCCAAAACCUUAUUUUCUUUUCAUUGCACCUUGAUGCUGUCAUCAAGAAUUAUCAAAGUUUAACAUCUUUCCUCUUUUUAUACACUUCUGUAGAGGAGAAAACUGGUCAGAAUUCUUUUCAGAGGGGCUUUCUCUAUAAUUUAAAAUCCUCUUCAAGGUGGUAUUGAUAGCAAGCUUCAUAAAGCAUGGAAUAUAAUAAUUCUGCCAAAGACUGAAACAAUAAAUAGUAAGGUAACGCAUAAUCUAUAGCCUUAAUGUAGGUGAUUUCCUACAAAUAGAAAAUAAAUAAUGUGUAUUGCAUAUUUCCAGUUAUAGGAUCCCUUCUUAAUGAUCACUGAGUAAUGGAAUAUUUAUAACAAACCAGGCAACUUUAUGUUCCGGUCGUCUAAGAAACAGCUUUGCUUGGAUAUGGGGCUAUCAUAUUUCACUCUUAUUCCUUAACCUUGUGUUGUGUGGGCAACAAGGGAGAAUUCAGCUAAACUGUUUGGAAAUCAGACAGGCCUGGCUUUGAACUGUAGUGCUGAAACCAGCUGGCAGCAUAGCUUUAACUUGUUGAUCCUCUGAGACAUCUAUGAAAUGGAAAUAUUUCUCUGAGAGGAUUUAUCAGGAUAUUUUUAAGGUGCCUAGCGCAGGGUCAUAUAGGAAUCCAGUCUAUUGAAAUCCAGUCUAUUGAAAUCCAGUCUAUUGAAAUCCAGUCUAUUCAUGAUAGGAUCAUCACUGUUGCUACACUUGCUGCUUUUAUUCUAUUUUGUUGCUUUGCUUUCUGUUGCCCAGGACCACUGUGUUGGCCUGUCAGAGAAGGAAGGGGCGUUACUGCUGUCUUUGAAGUUGAUGGCAGUAGAAUUUCCAUUUUCCAUACUGUCAAAUCUUAAGCUGAGUUAGAGCAUUUCUGGCAUUUUUCAACAAUAUUGCCAUUCUACAUCUCUUAAUAUGUUUGAAUUCCCAGAAGACAGUUAAAUAGCUAUUACUGAGACCUUGCUUAAGAAGCAUAUAAUGUCAGUGAAGGGUGUAUUGCAUUUUGUUUUGGAAGGUGCACGUAAAAGGAAAAAUUAUGCAAAAUCUGAUUUUAUGAAUCUUGAUUUCCUGGUAAUUGGAAGUACCCCAUUAAUGAUUCCAACAAAGUUAAAGAAAAAAAAAAUGUGUUACUAUUUUUAGGAAAGACAACUCUGUGGUGAAUCUAGGCCAUUGCCAUGACAAUACCAAGCUCUGCAGUUUCUUUCUUUUUUCCUGUGUGUGUGUGUAUGUGUGGUUUGUUCUGCUUCAAAUAUACUAUGUUCAUAGUCCUUAAAUACUCUUAAUAAUGGUGCAAUUGAACUUUGUUUUGGAGACAUUUUUCAAGCCAUCUAUUUAUCCUUAAAGUAUAAGGAAGUUACCAUGAAAUAUUUCAUAUAUUGUAUGUAUUUCUCCUGGUGACUUAAGCACAUUUCUAAAUUGCUAAUUUUGAGAGAUUUUAUAGUAGUCAUUUAGUUUAACAUUAUUUUGAUGAUGGAAGGAAAGACUGCAGAUGGAUUUGAAACAGUUGUAAUAAGUGCAGGUAAAUAAUAUAUUUGACAUUUUGUUUCUGCUCAUCAAUGCAGAGUAACCUUAUGUGGUUUAGUUUGGCAUUUUAUUCCAUUUGUACUUCCUCAGUUAUUUCUAAAGGUUCCUCUUCCUGUGAAUCCUCCUGUGGCUAAAAGUUUCCCUCAUUAUUUGUGCAGUGGAGUCUCGUCUCGACAUCUGUCCUGAACGUACCUUCCUCAUCUCUGUUAUGACCAUGUUUUCCUCUAUUUCUCAGGCCUGCUCCCAUAAAAUCUUAAUGACAUAUAAUUACAUUAAGCACAAAGUAGUCUUUUCAAAUUCUACUCUGUUGGUUGACAGUAAAGGAACCAAGGGCAUGGAAGGAGAGAAAAAGUUGAAAAGAGAUGGGAGCGUGCAGGCAUUUCCUCUUCACCUUCCUGAGUGGUGUUUCUGCCAAAGUGAGACUGAAAUGACAUGAGAUUUGGUGCCUUUAGGUCCCAUGUGAACAUCUUGCCAUGCCAAGUGUGAUUCUUGGGUGUAAAUAUAAAUAAUUGUUUGGCAGUGUGCCCCCUAAAUGCCAGUCUCAGUUUUCUGUUCCUAUGCAAGGGUAAAAGAAAACAAAACCACAAAAAGCUGUUUGUGUUGGGCCUGUUGAGAGAAGGUAAAUAUGUCUAUCCAAACAGGGUAACUUCAUAAUGAAUUAGGGUAUUUUUUUUUUCUUUUUUGGCCACACCCAAGGCAUAUGGAAGUUGCUGGGUCAGGGAUUGAAUCCAAGCUAUAGCUGUGACUUAUGCCACAGCUGCAGCAAUGCUGGAUCCUUAACCCACCCUGCGGAGCCGGCAGUUGAAACAGUGCUGCCAUUGAGGCAACACCAGAUACUUAACCUGCGGUACCACAGCAAGAACUCCAAAUUAGGGUAAUUUUGAUUAUAUAAUAUUUCCAACCUAAUCUCUGUUUCUUAACCCUCAGUUCCUCUAUAAUGCUUUCUUUACUAGAGUUUCCCUUUCUUUCUUGACUAUAGCUUUUCCUGAGAUGUGAAUGUGCACAUCUUCAAAGUUUGUAAUUAAGUGAAAACCCAGGAAAUGAAAUUCAUCAAACAAAUUUGUCAGUUUGCAUCCAAAUAAAGUCUUUUUAAAAGUGAUCCAUAAGAAAUUAAACUUCAGGCCCAAAUGCCAAAUGCUAGGAAUCUGACUUAAAAUCCAUACUCUUUUCAUUCUUAACACACUUUUUGGUUUUACAAUUUCCUUCU
rnacentral:lncRNA from 1 species